UACGGAGGGAGCUAGCGUUGUUCGGAAUUACUGGGCGUAAAGCGCGCGUAGGCGGCUUUGUAAGUUAGAGGUGAAAGCCCGGAGCUCAACUCCGGAACUGCCUUUAAAACUGCAUCGCUUGAAUCCAGGAGAGGUGAGUGGAAUUCCGAGUGUAGCGGUGAAAUGCGUAGAUAUCUGGAGGAAUACCGGUGGCGAAGGCGGCAUCCUGGACCAUUACUGACGCUGAGGCGCGAAAGCUAGGGGAGCAAACGGG
rnacentral:rRNA from 1 species